rnacentral:rRNA from 1 species
CCUACGGGUGGCAGCAGUGGGGAAUAUUGGACAAUGGGCGAAAGCCUGAUCCAGCCAUGCCGCGUGUGUGAAGAAGGCCUUCGGGUUGUAAAGCACUUUCAGUGGGGAAGAAAGCCUUGGGGCUAAUACCCUCGAGGAAGGACAUCACCCACAGAAGAAGCACCGGCUAACUCCGUGCCAGCAGCCGCGGUAAUACGGAGGGUGCGAGCGUUAAUCGGAAUUACUGGGCGUAAAGCGCGCGUAGGCGGUCUGAUAAGCCGGUUGUGAAAGCCCCGGGCUCAACCUGGGAACGGCAUCCGGAACUGUCAGGCUAGAGUGCAGGAGAGGAAGGUAGAAUUCCCGGUGUAGCAGUGAAAUGCGUAGAGAUCGGGAGGAAUACCAGUGGCGAAGGCGGCCUUCUGGACUAACACUGACGCUGAGGUGCGAAAGCGUGGGUAGCAAACAGGAUUAGAUACCCCUGUAGUC